rnacentral:rRNA from 1 species
AUACGUAGGGUGCAAGCGUUAGUCGGAAUUACUGGGCGUAAAGCGUGCGCAGGCGGUUUUGUAAGACAGAGGUGAAAUCCCCGGGCUCAACCUGGGAACUGCCUUUGUGACUGCAAGGCUAGAGUACGGCAGAGGGGGAUGGAAUUCCUAGUGUAGCGGUGAAAUGCGUAGAUAUGCGGAGGAACACCGAUGGCGAAGGCAAUCCCCUGGGCCUGUACUGACGCUCAUGCACGAAAGCGUGGGGAGCAAACAGGAUUAGAUACCCCGGUAGUCCACGCCCUAAACGAUGUCAACUGGUUGUUGGGUCUUCAUUGACUCAGUAACGAAGCUAACGCGUGAAGUUGACCGCCUGGGGAGUACGGCCGCAAGGUUGAAACUCAAAGGAAUUGACGGGG